rnacentral:rRNA from 1 species
GACGUAGGGCGCGAGCGUUGUCCGGAUUUAUUGGGCGUAAAGAGCUCGUAGGCGGCUUGUCGCGUCGACUGUGAAAACCCGUGGCUCAACCAUGUGGUCUGCAGUCGAUACGGGCAGGCUAGAAUUCGGUAGGGGAGACUGGAAUUCCUGGUGUAGCGGUGAAAUGCGCAGAUAUCAGGAGGAACACCGGUGGCGAAGGCGGGUCUCUGGGCCGAUACUGACGCUGAGGAGCGAAAGCGUGGGGAGCGAACAGG